AUGAAAUAUGCAUAAAACCAUUCUACUGUAUGAUGAUUAAACACGGGAGACAUUAACAGCGGAGGCUUUACUCUGUAUAAUAAUCCUUCCCGACCAUCCACUUCGAUUGCAGAGUUAUGGAAACCCAUAGCAGUUGGCAGAGAGAGGGAGAGAAGGAAAGAGAGAUGCAGGGGUACCUCGCCCACUCGGUGCUUCUCCCACUCCCGAGGAGCUCCCCCAACCUUUGUACUGCACUCUAGUGCUGUCUUUUGUAAUCCAUCCAUGCGGUCGUACCAGAGCGAUUAACAGGGGGGGAAAAAAAACCUCUUUUCUCUUAAUGUUUCAAAGCUCAUUAGCCAAACGAUUAUUCCUCAUUAACAGCGAAGGCUCAUUCAUUAAAAGGAAGGAUAUGCCCAAAAGAUACCAGCGCGGUUAAUCCUGAGUCCCGUAACUGGACGCGCCUGCCCCUGGCUCAGCGCCCGGUGCCAACAGAACACCUUCAGGAUUCACAGAAACGCAGAAACCAUGUCCAGGAUCCCGGCCUCUGCUUGGAACAGAACAGUGUCAUGGCGGAGACAACGGCCUUUGUCUUGCUGGGUGUGAAAAC